rnacentral:rRNA from 1 species
GGGUUGUGAGGUUAAGCGACUAAGCGUACACGGUGGAUGCCCUGGCAGUCAGAGGCGAUGAAGGGCGUGCUAAUCUGCGAUAAGCGCCGGUAAGGUGAUAUGAACCGUUAUAACCGGCGAUACCCGAAUGGGGAAACCCAGUGUGACUCGUCACACUAUCAUUAACUGAAUCCAUAGGUUAAUGAGGCGAACCGGGGGAACUGAAACAUCUAAGUACCCCGAGGAAAAGAAAUCAACCGAGAUUCCCUCAGUAGCGGCGAGCGAACGGGGAGGAGCCCAGAGCCUGAAUCAGCAUGUGUGUUAGUGGAAGCGUCUGGAAAGGCGCGCGAUACAGGGUGACAGCCCCGUACACAAAAGCGCAUAUGCUGUGAGCUCGAUGAGUAGGGCGGGACACGUGGUAUCCUGUCUGAAUAUGGGGGGACCAUCCUCCAAGGCUAAAUACUCCUGACUGACCGAUAGUGAACCAGUACCGUGAGGGAAAGGCGAAAAGAACCCCGGUGAGGGGAGUGAAAAAGAACCUGAAACCGUGUACGUACAAGCAGUGGGAGCACCCUUUGGGGUGUGACUGCGUACCUUUUGUAUAAUGGGUCAGCGACUUAUAUUCUGUAGCAAGGUUAACCGAAUAGGGGAGCCGGAGGGAAACCGAGUCUUAACUGGGCGUUAAGUUG